CGCGUAGGUGGUUAGGUAAGCGAGAUGUGAAAGCCCCGGGCUUAACCUGGGAACGGCAUUUCGAACUGUCUGACUAGAGUAUGGUAGAGGGUAGUGGAAUUUCCUAUGUAGCGGUGAAAUGCGUAGAUAUAGGAAGGAAUACCAGUGGCGAAGGCGGCUACCUGGACCAAUACUGACACUGAGGUGCGAAAGCGUGGGGAGCAAACA
rnacentral:rRNA from 1 species